rnacentral:rRNA from 1 species
ACUCCUACGGGAGGCAGCAGUGGGGAAUAUUGCACAAUGGGCGCAAGCCUGAUGCAGCCAUGCCGCGUGUGUGAAGAAGGCCUUCGGGUUGUAAAGCACUUUCAGUUGUGAGGAAGGUGGUGUCGUUAAUAGCGGCAUCAUUUGACGUUAGCAACAGAAGAAGCACCGGCUAACUCCGUGCCAGCAGCCGCGGUAAUACGGAGGGUGCGAGCGUUAAUCGGAAUUACUGGGCGUAAAGCGCAUGCAGGUGGUUUGUUAAGUCAGAUGUGAAAGCCCGGGGCUCAACCUCGGAACUGCAUUUGAAACUGGCAGACUAGAGUACUGUAGAGGGGGGUAGAAUUUCAGGUGUAGCGGUGAAAUGCGUAGAGAUCUAGAAGGAAUACCGGUGGCGAAGGCGGCCCCCUGGACA